UAGUCUCCGCCUCCCCGCCCUCCCCAUCUGGCACUUCGCGGCCACCGCAGCUACCGGGACGCUCCUGGAGCUCUGGGUCCUAGGCACCUGGAGGUGUGAGCGCUGCUCUGCGCCACACCAGUUGCCACAAAGGAGGACCGGAGUGCUCUGCGUGGGCGUGAGACCCGACCUCGGUCAGGUGGUGGAGCAGCUUCUGAGACCUGGGGUUUUUCAGGAACUAACUUGCCCAGUUCUUGGGAACAGAGAUUCUGGCCUAGUCUCCUGAACUGCCAAUUUGAAGCCUGUCCUGGAGUCAGCCUGUCUCAGACUAAAAUGGAGAAGGACACUUUCUGGAAGUUGCACAUCACAUCUGCAGGCACCCAAAAGCCGGGCUCCAUUUUCAUCUGGUUAAAGAAAGAAUAUGUUUGCAUAUUUUCACAUAUAUUUGGAUUCCUGCAAAAGACCAGAAGAGUAGAAUGGAUCUUCUGAAGCUGAACCUUCUAAAGGUGGCUGGCUAUAAACACACAUGUGGAACUGGAACUGGAUUUCAGUCCUCUGCAAGAGCAACAGACUCUUUUAAUACCAAGCCUUAAAAUGAUGUUGCUGAUGGGAACACUAGAGUCCCAACUGAUAAUAGGAAGUUAUUUCAUUUAACUAGAAUUUUUUUCUCAGUUACUUGGCAGUGAAUUUAUAAACUCAUAAGCUCAUAAACUCAUUAAGCUGAAUAGCUUAAUUAGCAAAAACAGACAAUGUUUAUUAGAUUCUGAGGUGGGCUCAAGAGAUUUCAGAACUGAUCAAUGGAAAAGAUAUGGAACGGGUUUUGUGUGGACAGCAUCUUAACAGUUUGUUGUAAUAGAAUUCCUUCACACAUGGCAUUAUCGAUGGCUACAGUUCUUGAUGGAAUGAGUAAGGAUGGGGUGAUACCCAAGAAGGAAGGAAAGCACAGCAUACAAAGUGGAGAGGGUCAUAGAAGGAUGCUACAUAUCAUAUGAUGUCCUGCAGCACCACAGCCAGCAGUUAAACCAGAUAGAUGCAAAAGAUAGCAACACUGAAGGGCCCUUAUAGCUGUAGCAUUUAUUUCAUCAAUAGCUAGCAUCUACUGGGUACAUUUUUUUCCUGGAAGAAAAAAUUGCAAAACCUGUAAAUGGCCAAAAAUAUUUUUAUUGAGGCAGUGUUACAAACAAUUGGAUAUGUAAACUUUUCAUAUCAGCAUGAGUAGGCUCUUGAGCUCACAAGUUGUAGGCUUGUGGAAAGAAAGAACUUAGGACUGGAGAUGCAGAAAAAAUGGUAAAAUGUACUUGUCUAAUCUGCACUGAGUCCUAGAUCUGACUCCCACCACCACACAGCUCAUUGUAGGCCAGUGGUUUUCAACAUUCCUAAUGAAGCCACCCUUUAAUACAAGUCCUCAUGUGGUGAUUACCCCCAAUGACAAAAUUGUUUCCAUUGCUACUUCAUAACUGUAAUUUUGCUACUGUUUUGAGUCAUAAUGUAAGUAUAUGUUUUCCAAUGGUCUUGGGUGAACCCUGUGAAAGGGUUGAGGGGGGUACAACCCACAGGUUGUAAGCUGCUGUUCUAUGCCUAGGACAGCCACAGUUAUAUGAUACCCUGUUUUGGGAGGGGAGAAGAAAGGAAAGAGUAAGAGGGGGAAAUAAAAGAAAGGAGAAAAGGAAAUAACUUGGGAUGGGGAUAGUCAUCUUUGGUUUAUUUGUGUAACAAUUCACACGACAGUAAUACAAUUCACUGGCCAGUGGCCAGUGGGCUAUCUCAACAAGGAAGGCAUUGUUGGGCAAGUCUGGCUACCUGACUUCAAUCCCUGGAACCCACACAAAAAUAGGAGAGAACUCACCCCUCAAAGUGUCCUCUGACUUCACAUAUUCCUCUCCAGACCCUGCAUAUUAAUAAUAAAUGAAAAUUAGAAAUAAAAAAUUCAUUGGUCAAAGAGCGACUAUUUACCUCUUAGAUUCUCUAGGCCCAGAUAAAACCUCAACUCUCUGUUCUUUGGCAGGUAACUUCUAAAAGUCAAAGAAUUGUUUGUUUAAGAUGAUGAGAAUGUCAGAAGUCUUUGAGAUUAGCUGGAUGCCAGGGAAUGGGACAGUGUUUGCUGUUCUGGGCACUUCCAGGAGGAAGUGGGGUUAUCUGUUGUUAAAAAUGGCCCAGACUUUGCAUUUACAUGUUUGAAUCUUCACCUGCUGCUGGUUGAAAAUGGCUGGUCUGGUGAAAAAUAUGAUUCCUAAAAGAAAUACAUGGUUUCACUUCAGGCGUCAAUGAGGGAACACCAGUUAGAAUUGUGAAUCUGUAUGCCAAAGGUGUUCAAGGGAGAAUGUCAACAAGGAAGUCUCAUAAAGGGGCCAGAGGAAUUUGGGACUUGCUAGUGAUAUCUAUUCUAAGCUAUACUUUGGGAUAUGUGGAUGCCACAGAACGAUAGCAACUUUCUCUUUAAACUUUGACAUGUUACUAAAAUUUAGAUUAAAACCAUAAUCCCGCUGUGCUACAUUCCGGUGGAUGGCAUAAAGAAUAUUUACUUCACUGCAUAGUCAUUUAGGAGCUCAGGUUAAAAGAGAAGCCCACCAUCCUGAAAUGGUGCCAUCCAAACUAUUAUAGACACUGGAGCAAGGAAAUAAAAUCUGAAUGGUGACACAUCCUUACAGUGAUCAGAAUUCAGAGCUUUAGAAGAACUACAAAAUGUGGGCGGGGAAGAAUAGGAUACACAAUAGUGGAGGAGUACUAUGUGGUAAUUCUACAGCUACAUUGGGAGGGGGUUAAAAUUUUAUUUUAGUGUGUGUGUGUGUGUGUGUGUGUGUGUGUGUGUGUCUGUGUGUCUGUGUGUCUGUGUCUGUGUGCCUGUGUGUGCAAGCUGUGGAAGACAGAGGACAAUUUUGGGAGGCUUGGUUUUCUCCUUCUCUGUGAGCUCAUGGGUGGAACUCAGGUCCUGAGGCUUGACAGCAAGAACCUUUACCUGCCCAGCCUCCUUUCUGUCCCAAGUUGCUUUUAGAGAUGUGGGUAUUUAGUUUGUUUUGAUUUCUUUUAAAGUCAGGCCUCAGGAGUCUUUGUUAACCUAAUUAUCACUGUGUAGAUAAGGCUGGCAUUGAACCUACAGCCUUUGUUAACUGAUUCUCACUUUGUAGAUAAAAGCUGGCAGAGAGCCUGCUUCAGCCAGCUAAGUGCUGGUAUUAAAGAUGCAAAAGUAUGACCUUCAAGUUCUUGGGGGUUAACAUGUUUAUAUUAGUUUCUUAUAGGCCACUUAAUGCAUGACCACAGAAUAAUUGCAGGUCUAAAAUCCAAGAUGGGAAUCCAAAGGCUACUGUCGGUAUUCUGGUAACCAUGAUUGUGGCUCCCUCUGUCUUCAGCACAAGAGUGUUUAAUAGAGUCAUUCUUUUACAUCGUUCAACCUUUGUCUCUUCUGCUUCCCUCUAUUACACAGAACUCUUGAGAUUGUAUCCAAAAUUGAUAACCCGACUAUUCUUGCUAGCUUAAGGAUCAAGUAAUUAGAUUCCUAAUUUCAUCUCUUAUCUUAAUUCUCCUUUGCCAUAUAAUAUAACAUACUCACAGGUUCCAGAAAUCCAGACAGGAAUCCUAAUUUUCCUGCCUGCCUCAGUAAAACAUUUAUGUGUCUAUAUACUUGCUAAUAAUAUUUAUUAUGUUGUGCAAUGACUUUGCUAUAAAAUUCCAUAUUUUAAAUAUUGCAAGAAUCACAAGCUUCUUGUUAGUUCAUGAGAUGAUACUUGUAAUACAGUGCAUUUCCCUUUUUGUUUUAGAGAUAAGGAAGGAGAAAAAUUAUCUCAGCAAUAUAUUACCAGAGGCAUUUUUAGUGUUAGUUUCUAUAAUAAUAUAUGCUGGGUUUUAUUAUGUUUUCCUGUAAUUGUUUUUGUUGGGAAAUUUUUUCCUUGCUACUACUAAUGCAUUUAGAAGUAAAAAGCUAUUAGGGAAAAUGGUUACAGAAAAUAGAAUAAUUUUGUUAUGGUUGGACCAAAUAAAAUGAUACUGUUGAUUAAACUUGGCAGAAAAAAUACUGAAAAGUAUUCAGUAUGAUUUUUUUUUAACUUUUACAGGUUACCAUGUAGAAAACAUGACUUAUAUGUACUUGGCAAAAAGAAUAGACAAAGGGAUAAAAUACUCAACCUCCUCAGGAUCAUAAUAUUUUUCAGACAUGAAGACAGAACUUGCUACACUUGGUAGAACUGAAGAAGUAUGUCAUAAGUAAGAGCUGUGUGUUGAAACAGGACAAGAGGAAGAAAGAUGUGGUGAGGCAAUAGUGUCGAAUACAUUAAUAAAAAUAAACACAAGGUGAUUUUAUCAAAAGGAUUUAUUCUUUUGAAAAUUUUUUCUUAAGAGAUUGAAUUUAUGUGGCUAAUAUACUCUUUCGACACAGAAAAGGUAAGCCCUGAUAUGACCUUUAAUUGUUCAGUGAUUUAUUAGCAAAAAACUUUCCUUCUCCUCACCACAAAAAUAAACAAGUUUUUUUUUCUUUUCAAUAAAAUUCACAUAACCUCACGACCCUUUUAUGUGACCAUGUUUCAGAAAAAAAAAUAUAAUUAUGGUAAACACUGCUGGUUGCUUACCCCUUCUCAUUUGAGUUUAUGAAUCAGUAACUUUUAGCUUUCCAUAAUAGCUCACAAUAUCAGUAUGCACAAUAGAAUAUUACCUGUCCAGUAUUGUUUGAUUAUGAAUGCCCUAAGAGGAUGGGAGGGUGAUCUGCUUGUGACGUCAGUCAUCCCAUUGAUUAUCAGCUGUAGGUCUGGCUGGCUAGAGAGUUGUCCCUUUGCUCCCUCUCAGCUCCAAGUGCAUCCACCCCCAAAGCUGGGAGGCUGGGGAAGAUGAUAGCAGUCCCCAAAUAGAGAAGGACAAUGUAAUGUCUAUUCCUGGUUGUCAACUUGAUUAUAUCUGGAAUGAACUACAAUCCAGAAUUGGAGGGCUCACUGAGAUCCAGAUCUUGAGGCUGGAAGACACAUGUUUCUGACCUGAAUCUUGGCGUGAAGAUCUUGAGGCAUAAUGGCCAUGAAAAGCUUAGGCCCAGGCAAAGUAGUACACGCCUUUAAUCCCAGGAGACUGAGGCUAGGAGAUCUGAGUUCAAGGUCAGCCCGGGGCAAAGCAAGUCUCAGAUCCAGCCCUGGUGGCACACACCUUUAAUCUGGGCCACACCCUCUGCUGGAGACCUACCGUAAUGACAUUGGAAGAAGGAAAAUUCUUUGACAGCUUGCAUUUAGUUGCCAGCACAUUCGUAAGAACCUACUUACAGAAGACCAGCUGAAGUAACUACCCUCAUGGGACUGAGCAACUACUGGAUUCUUGGACUUCCCAUGCACAGCUGACCACUGUUGGGUUAAUUGGAUGGCAGACUGUAAGUCAUCACAACAAAUUCCCUGGAUACAUAGAGACAGUCCAUGAGUUCUGUGACUCUAGAGAACACUGACUAAUACAGACAGUAAGGACAGUCAGUCAAGGACAUACAAGGAGCUGUAUCCCCUGCUAGAACCUUCAUACAAGUUCUGAAGUAAUGUCCAAGGAACAGCUCUCUACACUGUCACUUAGUGGGGAAUUUGACAUGUGGCCUUUUAUGUUUGCCACUUCUCCCCCUCCCCUUCCCCCCAGUCCAAUCCUAUUUUCCUGUCAAGUAUGAAGAUGGCAGGCAUCUGGUGUCUACUUUGUGGCUAGGACAAACUGGUCACAAUAUUGAAGAUGGUAGAAGAGAAGGAUGGAAUGAAUCCAUACCCUUGUAUCAAGCCAAACCCAUCCAUGCAAUACUUCCUGCUUGUGAGGGACAAAGAACCCUCACCUUUCGGUUUUCAGUGCUUCAGUUGCAGUACUCGUUCUCUGAUCUUCUCAUUUGACAAUGAUGUGUAGCCUAAGCCUCUUUAGCAGAAAAUGGGCAUCUGGUUAUGAUCUCUCUUGGAUCAAAUGUUUUCAGGCACCUCACACAAUAACCUAUUUGGAUUUACUGAUCAGUCAAACGUAAAUGGCCACCAUUUACAAAUGUUUAUGUGGAGACUGACACUAAGCUGAGUUUACCUCUUCAGAGGUAUUGGAAUAAGUUAGUGACUAAUUUAAAAAUUCUUGAAUUGGCCAUCAAAUUUUCAUUUUGCUUUUGUCUUACUGCAGCUCUUGUUUAAAUUACUUGGAAUAAUUGCUUUUCUGCACUAAAGAAUUUCAAACUUUGCAGUGACCUCUCAUGAGGAAUCUUCUUAUAGUAUCAUAGUUCUCAGGGUAUCAUGGGUGUGUGACGGAAGACUGGUGGGGAUGGUAUGGAACUACUGAGUCUCCUAUUUUCACCCAGUUAGUGCUUGUCUUGGUUACUGCUUGUUAUUUCAUGUUUGCGCUCUUAAGAUUUAAUAAUAUGUUAACCUCUUUUAUGUUCAUUGGCAUCGUCUUCUGUUAACCCAGAUAUACUUACUGUUCAUUUAAUUUCCCCUGAUAGUUAUACUGCUUUGCAACUUCAGGAAUGUACUUAGUUCUCUCUCUCUCUCUCUCUCUCUCUCUCUCUCUCUCUCUCUCUCUCUCUCAAAUAUGUAGUUUCUGUCUUUCACUGAUAGUUAUUUUGCCCUACUUCAGUUCCUUAUUUAUGAUUCUUUUUCUAUUUUAUUUGCUAAAUAUCAUAUUAAACUACCUCAUAAAGUUUCAAGGAGCUGCUUGUGUGUUGACCACAUCUCCAGUAUUUUUCUACUAUGAUUUAGAUUUAAUAUGCGAUUUUCCAUCAGGGGAAAAUGAUGUUGAGAGCUACUGUCCUCACUGUUGGUGAAGGAAAGGGAUAUGGAGUUUUUAAAAGAUGUCCUGACCUUGACAUAAGUAGAUCUUUGAAAGUACUCCCUUAGAAGGAGUACUUCAUGGAUAGAUUUGUAAAUGAUUUCACAUUAUAUUUGAAGUUCAGUAAAUUCAUGUCUAUGCUAUAUUUCACUUUUUUAUUGAUGAGGCCUCAUGUUAAGACUAGAGUGGUUGUUUAGUAGAACUCUAAUGACCUCUAUAUAUUACUACAAUCUUCCAGAUAACCAGGGAAAAGCAGAGUAUUAAGAAGGUCCCAACUUUACCUCCUUAGUGCUUAUUUUGAUUUUCUCUCGUCUUAUGGGCUCUAUCAUUAUCUGUAAUAGACCAGCAGGCCACUCUUCAGUAGCAGGGUCCUGAGAGAGAAGACCAUGAGAUCAGAGAAGAUAUCAGAUUAUAGAAAACGGAAGGUAGGAAAGUUUAUGAGAACAGGAAGCCGUACACAAGUUCUGUCUUAUGCCAAGCAUGUUCCUGUGUUCAGAGGAGCUGUGUUCCUUUCCUAUAUAUCAGUUCAUUCCCAAGUCUCUGGCUUAACGGUAUUUCAGGUUCUGUCAAGCAUGUUUUUGAGAAUGAACUAGGUUUUUCUCCAUAUAACUGGACCUCAGUGAGCACCUCAUUUGAACAGUCUAGCCCUCAAAAAUCAUCUAGAUUUCUCUUCAUUUUCUGGAGGAGUAAGCCAUUUGUUGAUGCCCCAACCAUUAUCACAGUUUAUUGGGCUAUAAUGCUCACUGCUAGGGAGAAGUGCAUAUGGGCAUAGAGAGUUCCAUGUUUUGUUUUGUUUUAUUUUGUUUUGUUUUCCAAUAAGUUUUUACCUAUACUGCCAAAGCUCUCCUGAGAUUCUCAGUUUUCUUAGCUAGGGUGAUCCAUGGUGAUCUGGGAAGGAACAUGUCCCCAAGCCUUGGAUAGUUUUCCAUGAUAGAUUUCCAUGAACUUCUACCAUGCUUGGUCAGAUUCAGAUUUUCUUUCAUGCAUUGAGCUUCUCACUUUUUGUCACAUCUUAGAAUAAACAGCCCUUGUGAACAGGUUUACCUGGCUUUUGUGCUAUAUCUCAGCUCCCCAUUUCAUAAAUCUCCCAAAUUAAUUUUUAUGCAAAUCAUAAUCCUAAGUUAGUAGCUUAUAAUUAGUAGAAAUUCUAUGACAUAGUUCUCAGUGUAUAUUCAUAUUAAUAUACUCUUUUAAAAUAUAUGCAUGGGAAACAGACCUCUAUGUUAUAGGCUAUUAUAAUUUAUUUUGAGAAAGAAAUAGAAUACAAUUUAUACCAAAGAAAAUUAUGCAUUUAUUUGGAAAUUGUUAUUAUAGUGUAUAAAAUAGUCUAAAUUUGCUUUAGACUAUAAGAACAGCCAUUUUUAAUUCUUAUUUGUUACCAAUUUUACUUUAUAAAAGAUUGUUUGUAUAAGAUAUAAUGCUGAUUUUUACAUAUGUGUAAACAUCUGGAUAUUAUAUUGGUUGCUAUUAGUUUUAAGUCAAAAAAUAUUCAUCACAGUGUGUGAAAAUUUGCAGUAACGAAGUUUUAAAAUAUACUGUAGUCAUAAGUCUUUGGGAUGAACUUAUUUUUAUAUUAUUGCUUUGAAGGAACCUGUGGAAAGAAUAUCUUGUAUGUUGUAUGGGUGUAUCAGCUAGCAAUUAAAAAACCUACAGCCUGUGACAUAGAAGGAAGUAGGAGAGGGGAGAUCAGGGAGGAGAACAAAUUCUUGGAUAGAGCCAGGCAGGAGACUUGCCCUGGAGGAUGUGGAGAGGGACACAUGGUAUCUGGGUACAGGAAACAGCCACGUGGCAGAAUGUAGGACACAAUGGUAUCUAACCAAGGUAUUUGUAGAUAUAUUUUGAGUCCGAGUCUUGUUUCUGAGAACAUAGGGCUGGGAAACAGAACUGGUCCUAACUUCAGCAGGAACCACCUGAAUGAAUUAGAACAAUCUUUAAGACAUGAUAUAACAAAGAUAUUAGUAUGUUCAAGAAUUGGCAGAAUGACAAUUGAAAAAAUUAGGAAGAGAUGAACAGAACUAGCGUUCAUCACACCAAUGUUUGAUUAGCUACUUAUCUCAUUGAUACUACCAAUAUCUAACAAGAAGCAACUUGAGGGAGGAGAAGUUUCUUGGGACUUGCAGUUCACGUGAUGUUCAUAGUUGCAAGGAAAGCAUAGUGACACAGUGGCAGGAGUUGGUCACAUCGUACCCACAGCCAGGAGGCAGAAGAAACAAGAAGUAGGGACAGACUAUAAAACCCACAGCACCCUUAUCCCUGGAUGAUUUUCUCCUGCAAAGAUGCUGCAUCUUCUCAAGAUUUCUCAGCCUGCCAAGACAGACUGGCUGGGACCCAAGUUUUCAAACUCAGGAGCCUAAAAUGGGCCUUUCGCAUUUAAAUAACAGUAGUGGGUCUGUUGCUGUUGUUCUCUGAGUGGGUUUGACGUCAAUUCAUUUGUUUAUGACAAACAGAAUUCUUCAUAUUGAUUAAGUAAACUUUCUGAAAUGGUAAUGACCUUGCUAUAUCAAAUCUCACCAAGUAACCAGUAAAUCAGGGGCUAGGGAGAUGGCUCAGUGUGUAAAGUGUAUACUGAACAGGUAUGAGGGCGUGGAUAUGAAUCUUCAACUCACAAAUAAGAAGCCGGACACGGGGCUGGGGAUUUAGCUCAGUGGUAGAGCGCUUACCUAGGAAGCGCAAGGCCCUGGGUUCGGUCCCCAGCUCCGAAAAAAAGAACCAAAAAAAAAAAAAAAAAAAAAAAAAAAAAAGAAGCCGGACACAACCACAUACACCUACAAAAUCAGCACUAACAGUGGGUGAUUAGAGAGACUCCAAAGCUGCGGGCCCAGCUUACGUUGCCAAAUCACUGGGAUCCGAGUUUACUGAGAAAAUCUACCUCAGUAAAUAAGAUAGAGAACAAGGGAUGGAGACACUUGACAUUGAUAUCCUGCCUCUGAAUCUACACAUAAAGACAGAUGCAAUACCCCUCUCCCCAACCUACAUACGAUAAACAGUGUUAUACAAGUAAACUAUAAAAUUAUCCCAGAUUAGGGAUUGAGACAUAUAUUAUUCAACUGCUUAUUAAGAUUGUAAGCAAUACUACAACAAAGUCGAAUUCAUUUCACAAGAAGAUUAUUCUAGAAGCAGCUGUACGGAAACAGUGAUGGACUAAUAGUAACUAAUGAAGCAUUCCCCAGCAAUGACAGUCUAAGAGGAAACUGCCAAACCAGAGGUUCUAGAGUGAGGAGGGGAGGACAUAUUAUAAUAUGUCAAGUGUAGUUUAUAAUGGAGUUACUUAUAAUGGGAGAGAGAUAUGUCCUAGGUCCAGCCCCGUACAACACAUUGGUUCCCUGUUGCCUCCAUGUGCUUUCACACUGGUACAGGCAGUGUGGCAGCAUGUGCAUCAACCUUGAGCUACAGUAGGUAAACCUGAGCAGUGGAAUUGGCCAGGUGCAACUCUGGUGCGCUUGUGCGAUGGGGAAAGCAACACCCACAGAUGACCCUUCCAGCUAUUUUCUUUUCUGCUGACUUACCUUUUCUAAACGUCUGAAAUUCUCAAAAUUCUAUCAUUUAGAGUCAAAAUCUGUCCCUUCUCUUUGUCCUGAUUCUUUGUUCUCAUUUUUACUUUUUUUGACUUAAUUUCUUGGAAUGUUUCCAUGACUAAAAUCAAACCAAC
ensembl:lncRNA